GAUAAUAAAAUCAAGCAAGUCACUGCAGUUAAUGCAGAAGUUACUACUCCAGCAGUAACGAUGGCGCUUGCGUUGAUCUAUUUAAAAACAAAUAAUAAAAGUGUAGCGUCAAGACUCAGCCUCCCCACCACGUGGUU